GAUGAACGCUGGCGGCGUGCCUAAUACAUGCAAGUCGAGCGAACAGACGAGGAGCUUGCUCCUCUGACGUUAGCGGCGGACGGGUGAGUAACACGUGGAUAACCUACCUAUAAGACUGGGAUAACUUCGGGAAACCGGAGCUAAUACCGGAUAAUAUAUUGAACCGCAUGGUUCAAUAGUGAAAGACGGCUUUGCUGUCACUUAUAGAUGGAUCCGCGCCGCAUUAGCUAGUUGGUAAGGUAACGGCUUACCAAGGCAACGAUGCGUAGCCGACCUGAGAGGGUGAUCGGCCACACUGGAACUGAGACACGGUCCAGACUCCUACGGGAGGCAGCAGUAGGGAAUCUUCCGCAAUGGGCGAAAGCUUGACGGAGCAACGCCGCGUGAGUGAUGAAGGUCUUCGGAUCGUAAAGCUCUGUUAUUAGGGAAGAACAAAUGUGUAAGUAACUAUGCACGUCUUGACGGUACCUGAUCAAAAAGCAACGGCUAACUACGUG
rnacentral:rRNA from 1 species